UAAAGGUACUCAUCUAUAUAGCUAUUUUUCCUUUUAAACUGUGGAGUUGUCCUCUGGACUGAUUUUUGGGGUAUGUAUACAUUGCUAUGCAAAAAAACAUGGAUAGUAUCCUAUGAUAUUAACCGUUUUAAUGUGAUAGUAUCCUAUGAUAUUAACCGUUUUAAUGGCCAUUGUCAUACUGAGAGUGAAACGAAGUAAAGCUACUUACAAUCCUCUUGAAGUUAGAAAAGAUUAAAUCUAGAAACAAGACAGGAGCAAAUAUCCUAAAAUCUCUUCGGUUUCAUCAAUCAUAGAUACGUUGAUUCACAUGUUUUGUUUGCCACUGCAGAAAACAAGUCUUUGGAGAGUCAAGUGGAGUAGCAGACAUACUAACAAUGAGCCCUGUCUUUGCUGACAACUCAGAAAGUGAAGUGGAUGCAGACACCGAGGAAGCGAGACUUAGUAAUUGAAAUGUAAACAUUGCCGAUACUGUAAAGGUAAGGAGCACAAAGUUGGGAGAAAAUGCUCCAGUAGUUGCUGUAGAAGGUUUGAAAGAUCACGAGGAUCAUCCUGCAGAGCAAACUGCGGAAUUCAAGAAAGCACAAAUUAAUUUUUAAACAAGUCUCCGUUGAAAACCAAAGAAGACGGGGGAGCUGUCCUCAGAGUCACCGACGAUGAGCAUCCUGAGGACAUGGCUAUGUCAGAAUACUCCCAUGCUAUGGAACAUGAAGGGACAGACACACCAGACGACCAUGGCAUUGACUGCCAAAACUGUAAAUGAGCUUACAAUCAAGAACAAGAAAGAGUCAAUGGAGCGGGAAGUCUCUGCCAUGAUUGCAGAGUAUAUCGAUCUUGAGAA